UAACAGAGGAAUAACGGUGAA
rnacentral:misc_RNA from 1 species